GACGAACGCUGGCGGCGUGCUUAACACAUGCACGUCGAGCGGAGCGGCGAACGGGUGAGUAACGCGUGAGUAACUGCCCCCCUCUCUGGGAUAACAGUUGGAAACGGCUUCUAAUACCGGAUAGCUGGGGAUGACUCGCGUCCUAUCAGCUUGUUGUUGGGGUAGUGGACUACCAAGACGACGACGGGUAGCCGGCCUGAGAGGGCGACCGGCCACAUUGGGCUGAGAUACGGCCCAAACUCCGACGGGAGGCAGCAGUGAGGAAUAUUGCACAAUUGUGGAAACCCUGAGGCAGCAACGCGCGUGCGGGAUGUCGUCCUUCGGGUUGUAAACCGCUUUCAGCCAUGACGCGGGAGUGGCAGAAGAAGCACCGGCUAACUACGUGCCAGCAGCCGCGGGAAUAC
rnacentral:rRNA from 1 species